GAUGAACGCUGGCGGCGUGCCUAAUACAUGCAAGUCGAGCGAACGGACGAGAAGCUUGCUUCUCUGAUGUUAGCGGCGGACGGGUGAGUAACACGUGGAUAACCUACCUAUAAGACUGGGAUAACUUCGGGAAACCGGAACUAAUACCGGAUGAUAUUUUGAACCGCAUGGUUCAAAAGUGAAAGACGGUCUUGCUGUCACUUAUAGAUGGAUCCGCGCUGCAUUAGCUAGUUGGUAAGGUAACGGCUUACCAAGGCAACGAUGAAUAGCCGACCUGAGAGAGUGAUCGGCCACACUGGAACUGAGACACGGUCCAGACUCCUACGGGAGGCAGCAGUAGGGAAUCUUCCGCAAUGGUCGAAAGCCUGACGGAGCAACGCCGCGUGAGUGAUGAAGGUCUUCGGAUCGUAAAACUCUGUUAUUAGGGAAGAACAUAUGUGUAAGUAACUGUGCACAUCUUGACGGUACCUAAUCAGAAAGCCACGGCUAACUACGUG
rnacentral:rRNA from 1 species